rnacentral:rRNA from 1 species
UACAGAGGGGGCAAGCGUUGUUCGGAAUUACUGGGCGUAAAGGGCGCGUAGGCGGCCGCCUAAGUCAGACGUGAAAUCCCUCGGCUCAACCGGGGAACUGCGUCUGAUACUGGGUGGCUUGAAUCCGGGAGAGGGAUGCGGAAUUCCAGGUGUAGCGGUGAAAUUCGUAGAUAUCGGGAGGAACACCAGUGGCGAAGGCGGCGAUCUGGGUCGAUACUGACGCUGAGGUGCGAAAGCGUGGGGAGCAAACAGG